rnacentral:rRNA from 1 species
CCUACGGGAGGCAGCAGUGGGGAAUAUUGCACAAUGGGGGGAACCCUGAUGCAGCGACGCCGCGUGAGUGAAGAAGUAUUUCGGUAUGUAAAGCUCUAUCAGCAGGGAAGAAAAUGACGGUACCUGACUAAGAAGCACCGGCUAACUACGUGCCAGCAGCCGCGGUAAUACGGAGGGGGCAAGCGUUAUCCGGAUUUACUGGGUGUAAAGGGAGCGCAGACGGCUGUGCAAGUCUGGAGUGAAAGGCGGGGGCUCAACCCCGGGACUGCUCUUGGAACUGCAUGGCUGGAGUACAGGAGGGGCAGGCGGAAUUCCUGGUGUAGCGGUGAAAUGCGUAGAUAUUAGGAGGAACACCGGUGGCGAAGGCGGCCUGCUGGACUGUGACUGACGUUGAGGCCCGAAGGCGUGGGGAGCAAACAGGAUUAGAUACCCCGGUAGUC